rnacentral:rRNA from 1 species
AGGACGAACGCUGGCGGCGUGCUUAACACAUGCAAGUCGAGCGGAAAGGCCCUUCGGGGUACUCGAGCGGCGAACGGGUGAGUAACACGUGAGCAAUCUGCCCCUAGCCUCGGGAUAGCUCCGGGAAACCGGAAUUAAUACCGAAUACGACUACGGCCGACAUCGGCUGUGGUGGAAAGUUUUUCGGCUAGGGAUGAGCUCGCGGCCUAUCAGCUUGUUGGUGAGGUAACGGCUCACCAAGGCGACGACGGGUA